AUUUUGUUUCGGCAAACUACUCGAAAGGGUAGGACGCAAAGCUAAAGGGGCUAAAUCUAUUUUGAUAGACAUGCCAGCCAGCUGCCCUU
rnacentral:ncRNA from 1 species